rnacentral:rRNA from 1 species
AGCGCAGGCGGUUUCUUAAGUCUGAUGUGAAAGCCCCCGGCUCAACCGGGGAGGGUCAUUGGAAACUGGGAAACUUGAGUGCAGAAGAGGAGAGUGGAAUUCCAUGUGUAGCGGUGAAAUGCGUAGAUAUAUGGAGGAACACCAGUGGCGAAGGCGGCUCUCUGGACUGUCACUGACACUGAGGCUCGAAAGCGUGGUAGCAAACA